GAUCCUGGCUCAGGAUGAACGCUAGCUACAGGCUUAACACAUGCAAGUCGAGGGGAAACGACAUCGAAAGCUUGCUUUUGAUGGGCGUCGACCGGCGCACGGGUGAGUAACGCGUAUCCAACCUGCCCAUCACUUGGGAAUAACCUUGCGAAAGUAAGACUAAUGCCCAAUGAUAUCCCACGAAGGCAUCCGAAUGGGAUUAAAGAUUUAUCGGUGAUGGAUGGGGAUGCGUUCCAUUAGGUAG
rnacentral:rRNA from 1 species